AUUGAACGCUGGCGGCAGGCCUAACACAUGCAAGUCGAACGGUAACAGGAAGAAGCUUGCUUCUUUGCUGACGAGUGGCGGACGGGUGAGUAAUGUCUGGGAAACUGCCUGAUGGAGGGGGAUAACUACUGGAAACGGUAGCUAAUACCGCAUAACGUCGCAAGACCAAAGAGGGGGACCUUCGGGCCUCUUGCCAUCGGAUGUGCCCAGAUGGGAUUAGCUAGUAGGUGGGGUAACGGCUCACCUAGGCGACGAUCCCUAGCUGGUCUGAGAGGAUGACCAGCCACACUGGAGCGGAGACACGGUCCAGACUCCUACGGGAGGCAGCAGUGGGGAAUAUUGCACAAUGGGCGCAAGCCUGAUGCAGCCAUGCCGCGUGUAUGAAGAAGGCCUUCGGGUUGUAAAGUACUUUCAGCGGGGAGGAAGGGAGUAAAGUUAAUACCUUUGCUCAUUGACGUUACCCGCAGAAGAAGCACCGGCUAACUCCGUG
rnacentral:rRNA from 1 species